AUUUAAAUAGUUUAUAAAAAUACUGAUUUGUGGUGUCAGAGAUAAGAGUUUCUCUUUUUAGAUA
rnacentral:tRNA from 1 species